rnacentral:rRNA from 1 species
UACGGGGGGGGGCAAGCGUUGUUCGGAAUUACUGGGCGUAAAGGGCGCGUAGGCGGCCUGCUAAGUCGGAUGUGAAAUCCCUCGGCUCAACCGAGGAACUGCAUCCGAUACUGGCGGGCUUGAAUCCGGGAGAGGGAUGUGGAAUUCCAGGUGUAGCGGUGAAAUGCGUAGAUAUCUGGAGGAACACCGGUGGCGAAGGCGGCAUCCUGGACCGGUAUUGACGCUGAGGCGCGAAAGCCAAGGGAGCAAACAGG